CUAUGAUGUAAAAAAAAGACUUCUUGUACAGAUAAAUUCAUAGAUAUAUCAUAUAUCUAUGUUUGCGACAACGCCUUAAUGCGUUCAUGGGAACACGCAAGAAUCACAAAAUAUUAGGAAAUAAAGUGAAUGUACGUUUGAACGUUGCUACAAAUAAUAAUAGGUACCUUCAUUUUUAUAGAAAUUGGUUAUGUAAGAAAAUAUAAUUAGUACGUGAUAAAUGUAUGUUUGAAAAAUGAUCCAAAUAAUAGGUAUCUUCAUUUAGAAAAAUAUAAUAAAAUAUCUGAAUAAAUCUAGAGCAUGGUCGUACCUAUAGUUUUUAUUGUUAAUAUAUUGGUUGUUUGGGUGCGGAAUGUGGUUUGCAUCUAAACAAAUUAACUCAAUGAAUUGUUUUUAGUAUUAUACUAAUAUAAAUAUUUAGUUAGGGCAUCGUACCAAAUAAUAAACAAUCUAUACUAUAUUAAAAGGGAUAUAUGAGCUCCAUUGAGCAUAUCCACUUCAGCAUGGAAAAUCAUCCAAUAAGAUUAAAGUAUUCGGCCACAUCAUCAGACAAGUUACGUUAUUUAGGCUCAAAAUAAUAUUUUCAUAUAAUCUUUACAAAAGCCACUAGCCCAUUAAAGUCCAGUAUCGAAACUCUAGAUUUUAUCACGCGUUGCGAUCAUUUCGUCUCCCUCUUUUCGUUUUCCUUCUUCUUCUACAUUUUCAUCGAUCGAACGACGUUUUGUCUCUCCAUCUUCACUGCAACCGAUCUGUAGAGUAAUCAAUUGUCCGUUUCGGUUUGAUUGAUGGCUUCCUCUCUAUUUAUUUAUAAAUCUCUUCUUUCAUGUUUUUUUUCAAUCAAAACUCUCUCAAUUUGUUAUCGCGAUGAAUUCGAACGGGAAAGCCAUAGUCUCCGAUGAUCCGAUUGUGAAGAAACCAUCAGGUUCUUUGAUCAAUUGGUGAAAUGAAGUUCGUGAUACCUGCAUAAUCAGAAAUUCUCUGAGAAAAAAACUGUGUUUGCGUUUUGCGUUUAGAAAAACCUACAUCGCCGGAGAUAAAUUGCCUGUGGAUGAUGUGAAGGUUUACGUUGCCGUUGUGGAGAAACCCAGCGAUGCUUUCCCCAGUGCUAGCAAUUGGUACGAUUGCCUUGCUUACCAUCUGCUAAAAGGUGGAUUCGAUACUAGACAAGGAUGAUUACACAUUGGAAGAGCUACUUGACUAGGAAGCAAUCAUCCAAGAAUGCAAAGCUUAAAUAGCCGUCUCAUUCAUAUUUUAAGGGAUAAAGCUCGAGUGGAGCAACUCUUGCGUUAUGUUGGUGACAUGUUCUAAGUUUCUGCUUGGAAGAAAUCAUAAACUUAAAGAGGGUGAUCAUAGACUGAUAUAGUGAUAUCUGCACCUGCAGCUGAUGACGAUGAUGACAUGGAUCCUUUUGGUGAUGAGACUGAGGAAGAAAAGAAAGCUGCAGAGGAGAAGGAGGGUGCUAAGAAGGACACCAAAAAGCCCAAAGGUUCUCAUUCGCUAUGGUUUGGAGAAAAAAAAACAUAGAGAAACUGAAGGUUAUCAAUAUCAAUCUUUCUUGAGUAUUCUUUAGAAGAUGUUUGGAAAGGAAGGAGAGAUAGGCUACGAAACUUGGGUUAUGACAAGAUAUUCUGAUAGAAUAUGCUCUCUAUGAUGAAAGCCUAAUGGAAAAAAAGGGAGGAAGAUGAAAAGCGCAGCUGAUCUCACAAGAAGAUUGAUGAAAGCUGAGACAGAUGUGCAACCUGAGGCAUUAAAAGUCUUUUGUUCUUUGGAUUGCACAGUGGUAAACCUCGAAGAUUUGUAUGGCACCCUAGCUACUACACAGGUAAAUUUUGAAGAUUUGUAAGUUGGAAAUUGGAGUUUUUUUUUUUUGGAUAUACAAAGGGAGAAUGCUCAUCUUUUAUUAGAGUUAAAAUUUAUAAAUUUGUAAGUGUCCAGAUGACAAUGAUACAUUUUGUCAAAAGAUUUAUGGUAUAUUAUCCCCUGUUUUCAUUCGAUCUCCAUUUUCUUAACUGAUGGGACUAUGGCUGUCUAAAGUAGCGUGACGAGGUAACUCUGAAAAUUAUAAACGUAUAACUUACAACUCACAAGCAUGGAUGGUGUCUACAAAAAUAAAGAGUCGAAAAAAAACUUACACGAAAAACCAGCCGUGGAAGAUGAGAACAAGGAAAAAGUUAACAGGGACUGUAUAGAAAAUUGAGGUAGGGACUCCUCAAAAUAUUUCUCUCAAAAUCUUUGUUUGUAUAAUAGUGUUAUUAUUCGUUUGAUCUUUUAAUAUUUCUUUGAUUUGAGUUACUAAUUAGAUGUGUUUCUUGGUGAUCGAACAUGUUUUGGAGAUACCUAAUUAGAGCUUUAGCGAAUCUCUCCCUCCUAUUCUGACAUGGGUAUAUCUGCUCCAAGUAUUUCAUAUGCUAACUCGCAGUUGUAUGUUAUAAUGUACAUAUUCUAUUAAUUGAUAAAGCACAAAUAGUUAUAUAAUAUAAUUAUUUAUGUUUGAUAUAUCUAUAUUUGUAAUUGUGAUAUAAAUAAUUAAAGUGGUUUACAUUUUUUUGAAAAUAAUGUUUCAUUUUAGUUAUAUUAUAAAAAUAAAAAUAAAUUAAAAGUAAAUAUCAGUUUUAAAAUAAAUAAAAACUAUUUAAACACAUAUUACUUAAAAUUACAAAACAAAAAAUUAUUAAAGAAAUACAUUGAUUCUAUUAGAAAAUACCAUCAAAAGAGAGUACUAAACAUUUUUUCUAAACUUAUGUCAAAACAUCAAAAUAGUAUAUAUAAAAAUAAAUAGGUGACUAAUAUAUUUCAACUAAUAAAAUUUGAAACUUAGUAUAUAAGUUUAUUUCUUUGUAUAGUAUUGGUAUUAAAUAUAAAUAAUUACACAAUGUUAUAAAAUACACUAAAAUUGAUUCUUUAUAUUUUGUCAAGGGUGAAACAUUUCUCACCAGAGGUCCUCUUUCCGCGUGUAAUUUUAUAAAACUUAAUAAAAAUUAUUAAAAUAAACUCAACCUAGAUAUUCAUAUAACAAUAAAUGAUAAUAAAUAUAUGAAAAGAUUUUAAUACUGUACAAAAUAUAUUUAAUCCUAUUUUCCGCGCGUAGCGCGGACCAAUACUCUAGUUUAAAUAAAACUGAUAAGAAGAGGAUAACCAAGGUACAUUGGCCCAAACAAAACUUUUUGAAGAUGUGUAGUCCUUUUUAAUCCAAAGACUAUAAAUUAAAUUCAUGCAUGUCAAAAUAAGUGGAUGAAAUUUAUGCGAGAAUCGUCGUUAUAAACAUUACUAAAAAAAGAUACCCAUGUAAAUAUUUUCUCCCAUUAUCUUGGGUAGAACAAACUAAUAUUUAUUAUACUACUAAUUUCUAAUUAGUGGUCCUAUAUGUGUAUUCGAAACCUAAUCAACUUUUAACUUUUACAAAGGCAGAUCUAGUUGGAUUGGGCAUUGAGUUAAUAAUUUUAUAUAAAUAUACUUGUAAUUAAAUGUGGUUGUGCUAAUGAUAAUCUUAAGUUUCAAACCUAAACCUCUUUUAAGAGAUUCGUCGAUCAUAGAUCCAAUAAUAUAUAGGAAAUUCAAAUAUGAAACUUAUACAUUUCUUAUCAACAGAAAAUAGAAAAACAUUUAAUUUGUGUAUUGAAUAUGCAUAGUAGUUAAACUGCGAAUGGCAUAAUAGAGUAUAAUGAACGUUUAUAAAAGAAAAUGAAGAUUAUCUUUGGCGAGUUUUAGCAGUCUCUAUGCUAUCUUUAUUUGGUUCAACUUGUUCAAAUGAGCCAUGAAUAUAGCUCUGAAUCAGAUACAUCAUAUUCAUACAUGUUUAUGAAUUGACUUUGAGUCACGUUCUUUCUAUAUCAACAGUUUUGUUUUUUCUGUUCUCAAUAAUAGUACAUAAACAAUAAGCACAGUGGGAGGUUAAUUAAGAUUAUUUUGCUAGUAUGGCCAAUGGAUAAUUAAAAAAUGCGCACUCUUAUCCAUUUUGAGAAUAAUCAAAAGAAAAGGCAUUGUCUGUAGGCUGUAGCAAGACUCAUCAUCCCUCCUGCACCUGAAGACUUCGGAGGAAUGUAAAGAGAUUCCAGAAAAGAAAGAAAAAAACGCUUUAGAUUUCAUUUCGAUAAUUAUUCCUUCGUUUUUUCUUUGUUUAAUCGCCGAAUCUUUUUUUUUUCUCAACUACUAACCUUUUGGCCUUCCAUUAAAUAUAGCAUCAAACGUGCAAACAGGAUCAUAUGUUUCUGAUGCAAAACUGGCAAUCCGAGGCUCUCAUGGAUAACAUCAACUUCGAUUCCUCAAAUGCUUCACAAGGAAGCCGUCUACAGGCGCAGCAGCCGUUUCAUUUACAAGACGUGAAUAUGAUCCAUUUCAACCAAUCAUCUCCAUGGACUACUGAAACGCUCUCGGGUUUUACUCCAUACGAUUGCACAGUCAAUCAAUAUUUUCCUGUACAAUGUUCAUCUUCAAAGCCCUACCCUCCCUCGUUUCAUCAAUCUUCAUCAUUAUACCAGUCCCAAUCGAUGGUUCCUAUGCAACCUCUUCAGGAUCAAUAUCAAAGAUCACGCGCCAAUGAUUUCGCCGCAACAAAGGCUUCAUCAGGCUCAUACACUCUUUCUUUUGAAGCUAGUCAAGAUCCACAAGGACUAUCUAGGAAGACCUAUAGUAACUCUAAUGUAACACCACUGAAUUUCUCAUCAUCACAUCAUCAACCUAAGCAAACACAUCCAAGGUUUUCUCCUCCCUCUUCCUUGUCAACCCAUGGAGGGUCGGUGGCGCCCAACAGUGGGGCGGUUAUUGGGACCAAGACACGGAUAAGGUGGACUCAAGAUCUUCAUGAAAAGUUCGUGGCGUGUGUAAAUCUCCUUGGUGGUGCUGAUAAAGCAACGCCCAAAGCGAUAUUGAAGCUAAUGGAUUCUGAAGGACUCACAAUAUUUCAUGUUAAAAGCCACUUGCAGAAGUAUAGGAUUGUGAAAUACAUCCCUGAAUCUCAGGAAGGCAGUGGAGUGCAAAUUAAAGAGGCACUCCAGGUUCAACUUGACGUUCAGAGGGAUCUUCAUGAACAACUAGAGAUUCGACGAAACCUGCAACUGAGAAUCGAAGAGCAAGGGAAACAAUUGAAAAGAAUGAUAGAACAGCAGCAAAAGACAAAAGAGAGUCUUCUGAAGACACCAAACGCCGAAACAUCAUCGUCUCUCUCCGAUUCCGACCAUUCUCCUCGGCCUUUUUCAGUACAAGACGCCUAAUUAAGUAGAAAAGGCCUAAAUCAUGUUUUUACUCUAUUCAAAGUGGUAUGAAAAUCUAAGAGUCGCGACAAGAGAAUGUCCAAAGUGCUACACACUAACAUUUGGAAACAGAAUCAGUCCAUUUGAGUCAUUACAAGUCUGGAGUUGCAUUAGCUGAGAGAUAGACCAGAUGAAGGGAAAGAAGAUAAAAAGAGUGUGAAUUGGAGUCUUUCGCGCAGAACAGUCGACCGAAGCAGACUAAGUGCAUGUUCCAGCGGUAGAGAUAAAAAAAGAAGUUUCCAAAUAUUUCGAGAUUUGCCCUUGAUUUCCUAUUUUUCCCUAUAGCCGCCUAUGGCUCUAUAUAUAUAGUCUCCUAUUUAUUUCUUUAGACCUACCUUAGUUUUUACGCAAGAAAGACGUGAGAGAGCUUUGAUUUUUAGGCGAUUGCUACUUUUAAGGGAGAAGGCCUCAUCUAUCUCCUAGAGAAGAUUAUCCCGAACCCUCUGAUUUCUAUUAUCUAUUAUAUACAGUAUUAUUCAGAAAUCAUGCUUCUCUGUUCUUGUGUUCUGUCUGAGUAAUCACCGAGUUACUUUAGAGUUCUAGGGUUUGGAUUCGUGAGCUGAAGCAUAAAUAAGUCAUCUUAAGAUUGUCUA